rnacentral:lncRNA from 1 species
AAAAAUUUCGUCCUCGAAAUUAACUUACUUGAAGCCUCAAAUUUUAAAAAAAUUGCAUCCAUUAUAUCAUCCCUGAGAUUUCAAAUAGUCUCCCUCUCGGAGUACCUACCCACAAGAUUUUGACAUACAAAAAUUAUAGCAUCUCAAAACUUGAUCCUUUCUAUUUACCACACAUAGUAAGUUCUUUUGAUCUCCUUCAAAAGAAUUCCAAACUCCCAACCUUGGAUUAAAAUGCCAUAAUUAUAUCCCAAAGAAAUUAAUUUCUCUUAAUUCUACCCAGAGAUCAUAAUUGGCUUGACAGAAAUAGGAGAAAUCUUUAGUAUCAAAUGCUCCUAAUAUUCUAUAAUAAAUUUUCUUUUUUUUUAACUUUGCCUGUGAUUAAAUGAUCAACCUUUAUCCUAGGAUUCCAGGCCCAAGCUUAAUCACAGAGCUAUCAAUCCUGUUAACGCUAAAAUUGAGAUGCCC